AAUUUUGUCCACUGUAGUGGACAUUAUGUUUUUUCUCAUAUCUUCCAUACUAUACUUUUCACUCUACUUAGUCCUGUUGUUCCUUAAAGAGGACCACUGUGGCUUUAAAAUGACAUCACAUUUCAGGGGUGUGACUUUGCCAGGUUCUUGUUGCUGUCUUUUCAAAAUGGCUGCCAUCACAAAAAGCACAUUUUAUGGAAAAAAGAAAGGUUCAUGCCCAUGUUGGAGGAAUGUGGAAUUACAUCAGCUGAUGAUUCCCUAUAACGAAGAGACUGGAGCCCACUGCAGUACUUCCAGCAGUACAUUGAUGAUCAGUUAAUUCGGAAUCUGUCUUUCUUCACCAACCAGCGCAUGGUACAGGAUUCAGGCUGUAGCUUGAACACAACACCAGAAGAGAUCAAGACCUUUUUAGGGAUCUCAGUGUACGUGGCAUGCCUCGGAUAUCCAAGAAUGAAAAUGUACUGGGCACUUCACUGAUUUGGCCAUCACCAACUCCUGGAUUCAAUACAGACAAGACAGUCAGACCUUGCAACGACCUGCAAAGAAAACCUCCCAGUACCUGGAGUUCAAACUUCUCUUGGCUGAAGAACUGAUAUCCCAGGCCCAAGUAGGUCAACGAGAUGACACUGACUCAAGUGAUCAAGAAUUCUUUCUGGAAAUUAAGAAAAGGAAGCCCCAUCCAGAUACAAGAAUAAGGAAAUAUGGUGCAAUUAAUUUGCCCCAAAUGCUCAACAUUCCAAAUGCUUCCAGAUGCAGAAUGCCUGGAUGCAAAAAAAAACCUGGAAAAACCUUUGUGAGAUGCAUAAAAUGCAGCAUGUUCCUCUGUGUCUCCAAACAGUCAGAUUGUUUCAUGAAAUACCAUCUAGAGUCAAAUAUCUAAUGAAAUUAUAAAGAAUUUUAGGUGAAAUGUUGUAGAUGUUCCAUUAUUCUGGGUUAAUUACAUUUGCUAUUGUUUUUGUACAUGGUAUUCUAUUUUCCUAGAUGAUUUCAGUGGAUAUUUCCAUAUACAUACUCGGCUCUUAAAAGUUUAACACUUGAGAACCAUGAAAUCCCAUUGUCCACUACAGUGGACAUGUUGUAAAAUUUUAAUAAAAAUAAGUUUUAAUAUUU